UACAGAGGUCUCAAGCGUUGUUCGGAUUCAUUGGGCGUAAAGGGUGCGUAGGUGGCGGGGUAAGUUGGAUGUGAAAUCUCGGAGCUCAACUCCGAAACUGCAUUCAAUACUGCCUUGCUAGAGUACUGGAGAGGAGAUUGGAAUUUACGGUGUAGCAGUGAAAUGCGUAGAUAUCAUAAGGAAGACCAGUGGCGAAGGCGGAUCUCUGGACAGUUACUGACACUGAGGCACGAAGGCCAGGGGAGCAAACGGG
rnacentral:rRNA from 1 species